rnacentral:rRNA from 1 species
CUUUCUUUGCUGGCGACCGGCGCACGGGUGAGUAACACGUAUCCAACCUGCCCCUUACUCGGGGAUAGCCUUUCGAAAGAAAGAUUAAUACCCGAUAGCAUAAUGAUUCCGCAUGGUUUCAUUAUUAAAGGAUUCCGGUAAAGGAUGGGGAUGCGUUCCAUUAGGUUGUUGGUGGGGUAACGGCCCACCAAGCCUUCGAUGGAUAGGGGUUCUGAGAGGAAGGUCCCCCACAUUGGAACUGAGACACGGUCCAA